AGAGCACAUAUGUCAGAGUCAAGGCCCGCGGGCCACAUCCGGCCCGCGAGAAGGUUUUUUACGGCCCCUGGGAUGAUCUUGGUUUAUUAUUAGAACUGGCCCGCAGACCGCAGCAAGCCGGCAGCCCACAGAUCUUUUAGACGCAUUAAUACUACAUUUCCCACAAUGCAACGGUGACGCACCGAGCAGUAGGCUGCUUCAUUUCAAUAUUUAUUAGCACAGCAGUCGUCAGCAUAACAGUUAAAUUAACUUUCAGAUACCCAUCAAAAAUGGCAAAAUGGAAGGUGGACACUGAGAACCGGGGGUUUCAAACAAGGUGGGAGUCGGAGUAUAUGUUCACGGAGGUAGCUGGAAAACCUGUGUGUCUUCUGUGUGGAGAAAGUGUGGCGGUACUGAAAGAGUAUAAUCUGAGACGACAUUAUGAAACGAAACACAUUUUUAUUGUAUUUCAAUCCAAUUAUAUUUUUAAAAUAUUUCAGUUGAAUGGAUGAUAGAAAAUUGCUAUUAUUAUUUUUUUCUUUGAAGUAAAUUUAGCCCACUUUUGCUAAAACAGAAAAUAUAGGCUACUGAUGGUGCCUUGAAUAAUACCGGUUUCUUUCAUUUAAUGUUCAUGUUAUGGGGAUUUUUAUAUAAAGGAAAUUUGUCUUUUGUGUCUGUUGAAAAUUAAAGAUUACUGACAGAGCCAUAAGAAAAUAUUGCUUUAUUUAUCUGAUCAUAUUGGAAUAUAUUUGUUAGGUUUUCAGUAGGUUCAGUUAGGUUCACUAGACUAUAUGCGUCAUUUAAAAAAUUUUCAAUGAACAUUCUAUCAGUCCGGCCCUCGGCUUGUAGCUAAAUUUUUUAUUUGGCCCUCCGUCCAUUUGACUUUGACACCCC